AGAGUUUGAUCAUGGCUCAGAUUGAACGCUGGCGGCAUGCUUUACACAUGCAAGUCGAACGGCAGCGCGGGCUUCGGCCUGGCGGCGAGUGGCGAACGGGUGAGUAAUAUAUCGGAACGUACCCAAGAGUGGGGGAUAACGUAGCGAAAGUUACGCUAAUACCGCAUACGAUCUAAGGAUGAAAGCAGGGGAUCGCAAGACCUUGUGCUCCUGGAGCGGCCGAUAUCUGAUUAGCUAGUUGGUGAGGUAAAGGCUCACCAAGGCAACGAUCAGUAGCUGGUCUGAGAGGACGACCAGCCACACUGGAACUGAGACACGGCCCAGACUCCUACGGGAGGCAGCAGUGGGGAAUUUUGGACAAUGGGGGCAACCCUGAUCCAGCCAUUCCGCGUGAGUGAAGAAGGCCUUCGGGUUGUAAAGCUCUUUCGGCAGGAACGAAACGGGUCUGGCUAAUAUCCAGGUCUACUGACGGUACCUGAAGAAGAAGCACCGGCUAACUACGUGCCAGCAGCCGCGGUAAUACGUAGGGUGCGAGCGUUAAUCGGAAUUACUGGGCGUAAAGCGUGUGCAGGCGGUCUGUUAAGACAGGUGUGAAAUCCCCGGGCUUAACCUGGGAAUGGCGCUUGUUACUGGCAGACUAGAGUGCGUCAGAGGGGGGUGGAAUUCCACGUAGCAGUGAAAUGCGUAGAGAUGUGGAGGAACACCGAUGGCGAAGGCAGCCCCCUGGGAUGACACUGACGCUCAUACACGAAAGCGUGGGGAGCAAACAGGAUUAGAUACCCUAGUAGUCC
rnacentral:rRNA from 1 species